rnacentral:rRNA from 1 species
GAUGAACGCUAGCGGGAGGCCUAACACAUGCAAGCCGAGCGGUAGAGUCUCUUCGGAGACUUGAGAGCGGCGCACGGGUGCGGAACACGUGUGCAACCUGCCUUUAUCUGGGGGAUAGCCUUUCGAAAGGAAGAUUAAUACCCCAUAAUAUACUGGAUGGCAUCAUCUGGUAUUGAAAACUCCGGUGGAUAGAGAUGGGCACGCGCAAGAUUAGAUAGUUGGUGAGGUAACGGCUCACCAAGUCAGCGAUCUUUAGGGGGCCUGAGAGGGUGAUCCCCCACACUGGUACUGAGACACGGACCAGACUCCUACGGGAGGCAGCAGUGAGGAAUAUUGGGCAAUGGGUGAGAGCCUGAUCCAGCCAUCCCGCGUGAAGGACGACGGCCCUAUGGGUUGUAAACUUCUUUUGUAUAGGGAUAAACCUAGAUACGUGUAUCUAGCUGAAGGUACUAUACGAAUAAGCACCGGCUAACUCCGUG